AAGUCGUAACAAGGUUUCCGUAGGUGAACCUGCGGAAGGAUCAUUAAUACGUUUCUAAACAGAACGUUUUAAACUCCAAAAUUUGAUAGUGGAAAAUAAACUUCCGGAUGCAUUUGUAGGGAGGUUCAGUGUAAAAACUGACUUCUUUGAAAAAGGCACUUCAAGGUUUCAAGACUUUGACACUUCAGAGUAGAGCAGUGAGGUGAAAAUUCAGCAAUGAGUUUUGGUUCUGAAAUACAUCUGUAUCCGGUUAUUCUCUGUUCUACAACCCUUAAAUUAUCAAACAAUAAACCCCAUGUACAACAACUUGAACUAACCAAUUUUGUUUUCUCCAGCUCUUCGGAGUUUGAGAAAAUGAAGUAAAAUCUGAACUUAACAACAACUCUUAACAACGGAUAUCUUGGUUCUC
rnacentral:misc_RNA from 1 species